CAGUAGCCGCGGUAAUACGAAGGGGGCUAGCGUUGUUCGGAAUUACUGGGCGUAAAGCGCACGCAGGCGGCUCGAUAAAUUAGAAGUGAAAGCCUUGGGCUUAACCUGAGAAUUGCUUUUAAGACUGUCGAGCUAGAAUCCAGAAGAGGGUAGUGGAAUUCCGAGUGUAGAGGUGAAAUUCGUAGAUAUUCGGAAGAACACCAGUGGCGAAGGCGACUACCUGGUCUGGCAUUGACGCUCAUGUGCGAAAGCGUGGGGAGCAAACAGGAUUAGAUACCCGAGUAGUCCCUGUCUCUUAUAA
rnacentral:rRNA from 1 species